ACCCGGCCGCCUGAUACUUUCGUCUCAACCUCGCUGUCAGAAUGUCGUAGGUGAGCAAAGUUUCAGGUGUGCCGGAAC
rfam:Caenorhabditis briggsae complete genome, chrV